ensembl:rRNA 5S_rRNA 5S ribosomal RNA
GUCUACAGCCGUGCCACCCUGAACAAGCCCAAUCCCGUCUGAUCUCGGAGUCUGAUCUUGGAAGCUAAGCAGGGUUGAGCCUGGUUAGUACUUGGAUGGGAGACCACCUAGGAGGACCAGAUGCUAUAGGCA